rnacentral:rRNA from 1 species
GACGAACGCUGGCGGCGUGCCUAAUACAUGCAAGUCGGGCGGACCGAACGAGGGGUUGCUCUUGUUUGGUCAACGGCGGACGGGUGAGUAAAACGUGGGCAACCUCCCCGCAAGACCUGGAUAACUCCGGGAAACCGGAGCUAAUGCCGGGUAACACCGAAGACCGCAUGGUCUUCGGUUGAAAGGCGGCCUUUGGGCUGUCACUUGCUGAUGGGCCCGCGGCGGAUUUGCUAGUUGGUGACGUAAGGCCGCACCAGGGCGACGAUGCGUAGCCGGCCUGAGAGGGUGAGAGGCCUAACUGGGAGUGGGACACGGCCAGGGACACUACGGGAGGCAGCGGUAGGGAACAUUUCGCAAAGGGAGGAGGCCUGACGGAGGGACGCCGCGUGAGCGAAGAAGGCCGUCGGGUCGUAAAGGUCUGUUGUGCGUGAGGAAGGAGUGGCGUUCGAAGAGGGGGGCGCAGUGACGGUACCUGACGAGAAAGCCCCGGCUAACUACGUG